ACGACGCUGGCGGCACGCUUAACACAUGCAAGUCGAACGGACUUAAUGGAGCUUGCUCUAUUAAGUUAGUGGCGGACGGGUGAGUAACACGUGAGCAACCUGCCUCUGAGAGAGGGAUAGCUUCUGGAAACGGAUGGUAAUACCUCAUAAUAUAGCGAAUUGGCAUCAAUUUGCUAUCAAAGAUUUAUCGCUUAGAGAUGGGCUCGCGUCUGAUUAGAUAGUUGGUGGGGUAACGGCCUACCAAGUCAACGAUCAGUAGCCGGACUGAGAGGUUGGACGGCCACAUUGGGACUGAGACACGGCCCAGACUCCUACGGGAGGCAGCAGUGGGGAAUAUUGCACAAUGGGCGCAAGCCCUGAUGCAGCGAUGCCGCGUGGAGGAAGAAGGUUUUCGGAUUGUAAACUCCUGUCCUAGGGGACGAUAAUGACGGUACCCUUGGAGGAAGCUCCGGCUAACUACGUGCCAGCAGCCGC
rnacentral:rRNA from 1 species